UAAUGUAUGGGGAUCUGCCCGAUAGAGGGGAAUAACUACUGGAAACGGUGGCUAAUACCGCAUAAUGUCUACGGACCAAAGCAGGGGCUCUUCGGACCUUGCGCUAUCGGAUGAACCCAUAUGGGAUUAGCUAGUAGGUGGGGUAAAGGCUCACCUAGGCGACGAUCUCUAGCUGGUCUGAGAGGAUGAUCAGCCACACUGGGACUGAGACACGGCCCAG
rnacentral:rRNA from 1 species